CAGCCCCACAUCAGACCACCCUUCUCUCCUCCAGGUCCAUCUCCCUUCAGCAGCCCCACAUCAGACCACCCUUCAGUCCUCCAGGUCCAUCUCCCUUCAGCAGCCCCACAUCAGACCACCCUUCAGUCCUCCAGGUCCAUCUCCCUUCAGCAGCCCCACAUCAGACCACCCUUCAGUCCUCCAGGUCCAUCUCCCUUCAGCAGCCCCACAUCAGACUACCCUUCUCUCCUCCAGGUCCAUCUCCCUUCAGCAGCCCCACAUCAGACCACCCUUCAGUCCUCCAGGUCCAUCUCCCUUCAGCAGCCCCACAUCAGACUACCCUUCUCUCCUCCAGGUCCGUCUCCCUUCAGCAGCCCCACAUCAGACCACCCUUCUCUCCUCCAGGUCCAUCUCCCUUCAGCAGCCCCACAUCAGACCACCCUUCUCUCCUCCAGGUCCAUCUCCCUUCAGCAGCCCCACAUCAGACCACCCUUCAGUCCUCCAGGUCCAUCUCCCUUCAGCAGCCCCACAUCAGACCACCCUUCUCUCCUCCAGGUCCAUCUCCCUUCAGCAGCCCCACAUCAGACCACCCUUCUCUCCUCCAGGUCCAUCUCCCUUCAGCAGCCCCACAUCAGACCACCCUUCAGUCCUCCAGGUCCAUCUCCCUUCAGCAGGCCCCACAUCAGACCACCCUUCUCUCUUCCAGGUCCAUCUCCCUUCAGCAGCCCCACAUCAGACCACCCUUCAGUCCUCCAGGUCCAUCUCCCUUCAGCAGGCCCCACAUCAGACCACCCUUCUCUCCUCCAGGUCCAUCUCCCUUCAGCAGCCCCACAUCAGACCACCCUUCAGUCCUCCAGGUCCAUCUCCCUUCAGCAGCCCCACAUCAGACCACCCUUCAGUCCUCCAGGUCCAUCUCCCUUCAGCAGCCCCACAUCAGACUACCCUUCUCUCCUCCAGGUCCA
rnacentral:lncRNA from 1 species